rnacentral:rRNA from 1 species
GAUGAACGCUGGCGGCGUGCUUAACACAUGCAAGUCGAACGGAAAGGCCCCUGCUUGCAGGGGUACUCGAGUGGCGAACGGGUGAGUAACACGUGGGUGAUCUGCCCUGCACUUCGGGAUAAGCCUGGGAAACUGGGUCUAAUACCGGAUAGGACCACAUUCUGGUUGGUGUGGUGGAAAGUUUUUCGGUGUGGGAUGGGCUAGCGGCCUAUCAGCUUGUUGGUGGGGUAAUGGCCUACCAAGACGUCGACGGGUAGCCGGCCUGAGAGGGGGUACGGCCACGUUAGGACGGAGAUGCGACACAGACUAGUACGGGACGCAGCGGUGCGGUAUAUAACACUAUGGGCGGAAGCCUGACGCAGCGACGCCGCGUGGGGGAUGACAGCCAUCGGGUUGUAUUCUCAUUUCGCUAGAGACGAAGCGAAAGUGACGGUACCUGGAGAAGAAGCACCGGCUAACUACGUG